rnacentral:rRNA from 1 species
AUUGAACGCUGGCGGCAUGCCUUACACAUGCAAGUCGAACGGCAGCGGGGGAGAAGCUUGCUUUUCCUGCCGGCGAGCGGCGAACGGGGGAGUAAUACAUCGGAACGUGCCCUGUAGUGGGGGAUAACUAGUCGAAAGAUUAGCUAAUACCGCAUACGACCUGAGGGUGAAAGUGGGGGACCGCACGGCCUCAUGCUAUAGGAGCGGCCGGUGUCUGAUUUGCUAGUUGGUGGGGUAAAGGCCUACCAAGGCGACGAUCAGUAGCUGGUCUGAGAGGACGAUCAGACACACUGGGACUGAGACACGGCCCAGAAUCCUACGGGAGGCAGCAGUGGGGAAUUUAGGACAAUGGGCGAAAGCCUGAUCCAGCAAUGCCGCGUGUGUGAAGAAGGCCUUCGGGUUGUAAAGCACUUUUGUCCGGAAAGAAAUGGCUUUGGUUAAUACCUGGGGUCGAUGACGGUACCGGAAGAAUAAGGACCGGCUAACUACGUGCCAGCAGCCGCAGUAACAC